rnacentral:lncRNA from 1 species
UCAAAUAUUUUUUCCUUUUUUUUUAGAAGAUUUCAUUUAUUUAUUUGACAGAGCGAUAGAGCCUGAGAGCACGAGCUGUGGGGAAUAGCAGGGAAGAGGGAGAAGCAGGCUCCCCACUGAGCAGGGCCCUGGGAUCAUGACCUAAGCCUAAUGCAGAUGCUUAGCCAACAGAGCUAUGCAGGUGCCCUGGAAAAAGAAUUCUCAAAACAAACAAGUAAUUAGAGAAAUCUCCUCCACCAGAAUGCUAGAAAAAAGUUUAAAGCUACAGCACAGAAUGGAGUGUACUCUUGCUACUAGAUUUUAUUCAUAGGCACAGGGUCCCCUAGAGACAGUGUGGGGAGUGAGAGGGAGAGAGAAAAAUCUUAAAUUUCAUCCUCUGGGCCUAUUGUUAGUGGUGAUUAUGACUCACUGAUAUUUACGUAUUUUUUAAAAAUUUAUGUUGACAACAUUAGGCAGAAAAAUGUCAGUGUAAGGGAAAAAUGCAAAUAUAUAAUUUUUUUAAAGAUUUUAUUUAUUUAUUCAUGAGAGACGGGGAGGGGGGCAGAGGGAGAAGCAGAUUCCACACAGGGAACCCGACGUGGGACUCGAUCCUGGGUCUCCAGGAUCACGCCCUAGGCUGAGGCAGCGCUAAACCGCUGAGCCACCCAGGCUGCCCACAAAUACACAAUUUUUAAAGAUUAGUAAAAACUCUGAUCUAUCAUUUGAAUUCAUGUCUCUAGGUAUUACCCCUUUUUAGAUACCACCGAAAAAGGGGAAAGCCAUAUGAAUCCAGAGAGUGAAGAAGUCAGUAGUGUGCUUAAUGAGUUUUGUGAGGACACGUACCUCCCUUGAACACGAGGACAAAAGCCUAGAAGGUUCCAAGGCUGCCAGGUGCUCACAGCCUGCAGGGAACAGCUGGUUCAGACCUAGUCCCCAUGUCUGCCAGCCUCCCAGACCUGCUGGCCUCGUGGAUUGACCAGUCAUGGGUCCAGCCUGGGGGUCCAGCCCGCUGAGCACCCAGCAAUGUGGUCUGAUCAGUGGUGCGCUGAGGGGAGAGGUCGUUCUCAUAUGGAGCUGCCAAAGGGGAGCCCUGGAGGUCGAAUGAGCCCUGGAGGCCGAAUGAUAACUCCCUGAGGAUUUAUUGCAUCAACAAGGACAGAAUGACAGCUCCAGUCCAAGCCCUGCCCCUUGGAGGAUGUGUGUCCUUGGGAAAGUCACUGUGAAUGGGAAUAAUAAUGCUCACUCUGGAGACAUCCUCCACCAUGGGCCUGGGAUGGGUCAAGUUUAUUCCUUUGUAAAUAAAUAUUUUUUGUGAACUCACAUACAAUGUGAUUCGUUAACCAUUUGUUCCUUAUAAUAAUGUACAAACAUGGUUAUAACAACCACAUUUGAUACAUCAGCAAUUUGGAAUCUUAAAACUUUUCAUUUGCUCAAAGUAAUGUAAGUAAUGAAGCCUUGAUUCAAACUCAACUCUAAUAAAGUCCAAAACCCACCCACCCAUGACACAUCCA